rnacentral:rRNA from 1 species
CGGGUGAGUAACACGUAUCCAACCUGCCGUCUACUCUUGACAGCCUUCUGAAAGGAAGAUUAAUACAAGAUGGCAUCAUGAGUCCGCAUGUUCACAUGAUUAAAGGUGUUCCGGUAGACGAUGGGGAUGCGUUCCAUUAGAUAGUAGGCGGGGUAACGGCCCACCUAGUCUUCGAUGGAUAGGGGUUCUGAGAGGAAGGUCCCCCACAUUGGAACUGAGACACGGUCCAA